GACGGAGGGUGCUAGCGUUGUUCGGAAUCACUGGGCGUAAAGGGCGCGUAGGCGGCCGGAUCAGUCGGACGUGAAAGCCCGGGGCUCAACCCCGGAACGGCGUCCGAGACGGUCCGGCUGGAGACCGGGAGAGGAGGGUGGAAUAGCCAGUGUAGAGGUGAAAUUCGUAGAUAUUGGCUGGAACACCGGUGGCGAAAGCGGCUCUCUGGCCCGGUUCUGACGCUGAGGCGCGAAAGCGUGGGGAGCAAACAGG
rnacentral:rRNA from 1 species